rnacentral:rRNA from 1 species
AUUGAACGCUGGCGGCAGGCCUAAAACAUGCAAGUCGAGCGGAUGACGGGAGCUUGCUCCUUGAUUCAGCGGCGGACGGGUGAGUAAUGACUAGGAAUCUGCCUGGUAGUGGGGGACAACGUUUCGAAAGGAACGCUAAUACCGCAUACGUCCUACGGGAGAAAGCAGGGGACCUUCGGGCCUUGCGCUAUCAGAUGAGCCUAGGUCGGAUUAGCUAGUUGGUGGGGUAAUGGCUCACCAAGGCGACGGUCCGUAACUGGUCUGAGAGGAUGAUCAGUCACACUGGAACUGAGACACGGUCCAGACUCCUACGUGAGGCAGCAGUGGUGAAUAUUGGACAAUGGGCGAAAGCCUGAUCCAGCCAUGCCGCGUGUGUGAAGAAGGUCUUCGGAUUGUAAGCACUUUAAGUUGGGAGGAAGGGCAGUAAGCUAAUACCUUGCUGUUUUGACGUUACCGACAGAAUAAGCACCGUCUAACUCUGUGCCAGCCGCCGCAGUAA